rnacentral:rRNA from 1 species
CAGGGAUUGCCCUAGUAACGGCGAGUGAAGCGGCAACAGCUCAAAUUUGAAAUCUGGCGUCUUUGGCGUCCGAGUUGUAAUUUGCAGAGGGCGCUUUGGCAUUGGCAGCGGUCCAAGUUCCUUGGAACAGGACGUCACAGAGGGUGAGAAUCCCGUACGUGGUCGCUAGCCUUUACCGUGUAAAGCCCCUUCGACGAGUCGAGUUGUUUGGGAAUGCAGCUCUAAAUGGGAGGUAAAUUUCUUCUAAAGCUAAAUACUGGCCAGAGACCGAUAGCGCACAAGUAGAGUGAUCGAAAGAUGAAAAGCACUUUGGAAAGAGAGUUAAAAAGCACGUGAAAUUGUUGAAAGGGAAGCGCUUGCAGCCAGACUUGCCUGUAGUUGCUCAUCCGGGUUUUUACCCGGUGCACUCUUCUAUAGGCAGGCCAGCAUCAGUUUGGGCGGUUGGAUAAAGGUCUCUGUCAUGUACCUCUCUUCGGGGAGAACUUAUAGGGGAGACGACAUGCAACCAGCCUGGACUGAGGUCCGCGCAUCUGCUAGGAUGCUGGCGUAAUGGCUGUAAGCGGCCCGUCUUGAAACACGGACCAAGGAGUCUAACAUCUAUGCGAGUGUUUGGGUGUCAAGCCCGAGCGCGUAAUGAAAGUGAACGGAGGUGGGAACCCCUCGGGGUGCACCAUCGACCGAUCCUGAUGUCUUCGGAUGGAUUUGAGUAAGAGCAUAGCUGUUGGGACCCGAAAGAUGGUGAACUAUGCUUGAAUAGGGUGAAGCCAGAGGAA